GAAGAAUAAUUUCGUCGAACACCUGAUUGGUUUGGUGUUGAUUAAUUUGGGCUCGUUCGACAUUGCAGCCGACAGUGCAGGUGGCUGCUGACUCAUUUACAAAUCACCUUGCAUCAUAAAUAACUACUCAUUAUUAUUUAUAAAUCAGUCAGCCAGUCACCGUUUACCCACAAUGCAGCAUAGACUUGAUGCUCUCGAUCAAGGCCCGUGGUUUCGUAGAAGACAUGAAGGCUACGCUGCUACGGGGCAGUCAAGAAAUGGAACGGCAAGGCCACAGAACAUGACAUAAGCAGAGCUGUGGGAGACCACCUCAAGCCCCUGGUAGAGCAGGGGGUGGUGUUUACCACUCCACCACACCUUCAGCAGGCUGGAAAAUUAACCCUGAUAUUUUAAAAGCAGGGCAACAACGUCAAUAUAAUUGUACCCAAAAAUUGUCAGUUGGUUGCAUAAAUAAUUAUGAUUACUAAAUGUUACAUGAAAUGUAAAUAUUAAAUAUUCGGUUACAGUC